UUAUCUAAAUGUCAAACUGUUCCUUUAAGAGAAAUUUCAGCAUCACAACAGUGAGUUUUUAUACGUUUAGGUAAAUGUGUGCAGUGGAAUAAAUACAUUAAGAGAGAUGCAUGAAAGAGGAUAAAGCUGCAAGUCAUGUGGACGGACCGGUUUCAUUGUCUGACUUUCCUCCAUAACUCUCUGUGCUCAGCUGCCAAACUCCUGUCAGUCAGACCACACCUGCCUGUCAUCAGAUCCUGAGCUGCUGGUCAGGAUGGCGUGCAGGCGAGAGCGCUCGACAUCGUCAGACAGGUGAGGAGAGGAGGCCAGGUCCACACCUGGAGCACACAGGCUGAAGAAGCUUAAACUGAGAUCACUCCUGACUCCUGCUGCCUGAAAACACACUGAACAGUUCCCGUCCUUCCUCUCAGACGGACCGCAGCACUGUUUUAAUGAAGACUCUUCUGUCUUUCUGGAUUCGACCACUAGCAUCAUCAUUAAUGACCAAAGCCCCGGCCAGGAAAGCAGCUGUCCUACAGCAGUGAACGUGUGCAGGUGUGUUCAUCCUUGAAGCGUGAUGUCACUCCGUCCCUCCCCAGUUAUCCAAUCAGAGACGCAUGAUGUCAUCGAGGUCAUCAGGAUCGGCACUGGUGACCGCGGCACCUGAGGUCAGCCAGCGCUGGACGAGAGGAGAGGAACCUGCAAGGGAAGGGUUAUUCUUUAUUUCUGUAUACUCCGUAAUACACAACACCAGCUUCCUCCUGAACCCGCCUCCGUCUAAUACAAGUGAAUGGGUGUGAAGAGAACCAAUAAAACAACGGGAUUCAUUGGCUGAAUAGCCAAUCAGGAGCUCACACGGGGAGCCUGUCACUGUUUGUAUUUCUAUCAAUAAGUAUAGCUCAUUGAUAGAGAAGCAGAGACUUUUAGCUCUAAUAUUUGUGUUAUCGAUACGAGGGAGACACUCUGUGGUGCUUUCAGCUCCGACUUCGUUGAACUUCUUGUUUACAUCUACAGUAGCCUCGUUAGGACAAACCUAUCCAUUAUCACUUAUCAUUUCCAACUCCACUGGUUCAGUCAAGCAGGUGGAGACAAUGUGACAAAAAAGUAGUGAUCAAUAACAAGAUGGCUGCUAGCUAAACUGCAGGCUGUUGCCACUUUUUAUAUGCAUUGCUACAGAAGCAGUGGGCCUUUAAGCAAGACAAUAUUUUUUAUUAUGUUUAUGAAAAACAAAAAAAAUGAAUGUACAUUUAGCAUGAUGUUGAAUUUGAAUGUUGGAAUUUAAAUAAACUUUUUUUUCUCCAAGUCUUCUAGAGGAUUUUUCUGAUUUGUGAGAAAAGACACAAACUAAGUUAAGUAGCCAAGUUGAGCUGUAGGAUGUUUUCUGAUUCAGUUGUUUAGUAAAUAGUUUGGAGUCAAAGCUCAGUGCACCGAGUUAGACAACAGCAUUGUUCGAGUGUAAGCAGAAGCUCCACUGACAGAUAUACUAUAUGUUAGACAUCAUGCCGAUAAACCUUCUGACAGUCAAGUCGUACUUUACACGCCACUAGAGGUCACUGUCAGAUAAACAUUGGUCAUUUUUAGGCAUUUAAACAAA